rnacentral:misc_RNA from 1 species
CGCACAUUGCGCCCCUUGGUAUCCCGAGGGGCAUGCCUGUUCGAGCGUCAUUUAGGACAUCAAGCUCUGCUUGGUCUUGGGCGCGGUCCUCCCCGACCGGCCUGUAACUGUUAGCGGCGACCGUCGGUCCCUAGGCGUAGCAAAACUAUUCGUCUCUGGGUGCUGCGGGCAGCUGUCUCAAGACCCGGCCACUGGCCACCAAAGUUUGACCUCGGAUCAGGUAGGGAUACCCGCUGAACUUAA